rnacentral:rRNA from 1 species
CACGUAGGGGCCAAGCGUUGUCCGGAUUUAUUGGGCGUAAAGAGCUCGUAGGCGGUUGGGUAAGUCGGGUGUGAAAACUCCGGGCUCAACUCGGAGACGCCACCCGAUACUGCUCUGACUUGAGUCCGGUAGGGGAGUGGGGAAUUCCUGGUGUAGCGGUGAAAUGCGCAGAUAUCUGGAGGAACACCGGUGGCGAAGGCGGCAUCCUGGACCGGCAUUGACGCUGAGGCGCGAAAGCCAGGGGAGCAAAGCGGG